rnacentral:other from 1 species
GACGGUCUGCGCCUCGCGGCAGGAGUAACAUUCCCCGGGGCCUUAUUGAUCCCAAGGGAGCUGUCCCUGUUUGGACCCGUGGGUCCUUUCAUACGGCGCCCACCUACUUUGUAGGCACCCGGGAUCAACCUCUCCACCGGUGUGUGUGGAUCGUCG